GACGAACGCUGGCGGCGUGCUUAACACAUGCAAGUCGAACGGAAAGGCCCUGCUUUUGUGGGGUGCUCGAGUGGCGAACGGGUGAGUAACACGUGAGUAACCUGCCCUUGACUUUGGGAUAACUUCAGGAAACUGGGGCUAAUACCGGAUAGGAGCUCCUGCUGCAUGGUGGGGGUUGGAAAGUUUCGGCGGUUGGGGAUGGACUCGCGGCUUAUCAGCUUGUUGGUGGGGUAGUGGCUUACCAAGGCUUUGACGGGUAGCCGGCCUGAGAGGGUGACCGGCCACAUUGGGACUGAGAUACGGCCCAGACUCCUACGGGAGGCAGCAGUGGGGAAUAUUGCACAAUGGGCUGAAGCCUGAUGCAGCAACGCCGCGUGCGGGAUGGCGGCCUUCGGGUUGUAAACCGCUUUCGCCUGUGACGAAGCGUGAGUGACGGUAAUGGGUAAAGAAGCACCGGCUAACUACGUG
rnacentral:rRNA from 1 species